AAGCAUAACAGAGUGUCGUCAAUAGUGUCAGGGACUGGUGCUUGUCCAUGGGAUUGGUCUCAAGUUGGGCCAGUUAUUGGUCGGCCAUUCCCUUUGUCUCUGCUCCAUCUUUGUCCCUGCAUUUCUUGACAGGACAAACUUCGGGUCAAAGUUUUGUGGAUGGGUUGGUGCCCAUCUACUGGGUCCUGCCAGGCUGGUACCAUAAAGGAGCAGACUCAAAUAAAGAAAAUCCACGCUCCGGUAUUCCAGCUGGCACCUGAGGCCGGCCGGCUGGAUGCAGCCCUGAGCAUCUGUGUCCCGUUGCCUUAUAGCCUCCUCCCAGCACAGGAAGUGGACUUCUGUCCAGUUCAAGUCUGAACACUAUGCUCUAGACUCUGGACCACCCCAGAGAGAUCAACCCUGUCACCCAGGUCAAUAGCUUCUUUUGGGAGGCUGGUGUCCUCUUCCUCAAUUCUCACACCAAGGCUUCAGUGUUUCAGUUUUGCUGUUCCUUAAAUAUCCUUGACAUCAUCAAUCCUUUGCUUGAUCUGUAUGUGGAAAAGAAGUAUUUCCUGACUCAUCACUCAGCUGCUGAUGUCAACAAGGGCAUAAGCUCAUGGUGGCAACCAUCUCACCCGGGCCAUACAUGAAGGACAGAAACAGUGUGCUCACAGAAGAAACACUACAUGUACACACAGUGCUUUAGUCAAACACUUGGGAAGUGGAUGGCUUACACACACAACCCCAUGUGCAACUUGUCAUGCACUGGCAGUCACACUCAAAAAGGGAUCCUCUGCAGGUGAACCACUUCAGAGAAGAUAUAGCUGCUGGUAAAUGGCUUUGGUUUCCAGACACAAUUUUCCAACUUCACAUUCACAGAUAAACAAAACAGAAGUGAUGGUUUGUAUAUGCUUGGCCCAGGGAGUGACACUAUUAGGAGGUGUUGGAGUAUGUGUGUCACUGUGGGUGUGGGCUUAAGACCUUCACCCUAGCUGCCUGGAAGUCAGUAUUCUGCUAGAAGCUUUCAGAUGAAGAUGUAGAACUUUCAGCUCCUCCUGCACGAUGCCAGCCAGAAUCCCAACAUGUUCCACCUUGAUGAUAAUGGACUGAACCUCUGAACCUGUAAGCCAGCCCCAAUUAAAUGUUGUCCUUAUAAGAGUUGUCUUGGUCAUGGUGUCUGUUCACAGCAGUAAAACCCUAACUAAGACAGAG
rnacentral:lncRNA from 1 species